rnacentral:tRNA from 1 species
AGUCCCGUGGUGAAUUUCACAUUGAAUUGCAAAUUCAAAGG